rnacentral:rRNA from 1 species
CCUACGGGUGGCAGCAGUCGAGAAUUAUUCACAAUGGGGGAAACCCUGAUGGUGCGACGCCGCGUGGGGGAAUGAAGGUCUUCGGAUUGUAAACCCCUGUCAUGUGGGAGCAAAUUAAAAAGAUAGUACCACAAGAGGAAGAGACGGCUAACUCGGUUCCAGCAGCCGCGGUAAUACAGCGGUCGUAAGCGUUGGUCGGAAUCACUGGGCGUAAAGCGUUCGUAGGCUGUGUCGUAAGUCGUGUGUGAAAGGCGCGGGCUCAACCCGCGGACGGCACAUGAAACUGGGAGACUAGAGUAAUAGAGGAGGAAGCGGAAUUCUCGGUGUAGCAGUGAAAUGCAUAGAUAUCGAGAGGAACACUCGUGGCGAAGGCGGGUUCCUGGACAUUAACUGACGCUGAGGCACGAAGGCCAGGGGAGCGAAAGGGAUUAGAUACCCCAGUAGUC